rnacentral:rRNA from 1 species
CACCGCGGUUAUACGAUACGCCCAAGUUGACAGUCUUCGGCAUAAAGUGUGGUUAAUUAACACCUAAACUAAAGUCGAACCCCUUCAUGUUUGUCAAACGCCUCCGAAGCGGGGAAGCCCAGCAACGAAAGUGACUUUAAAAUUAAUGAACCCACGAAAGCUAUGAAA